ACGAAUAGCUUCGGGCUAUUACGGAGCAGCGAACGGGUGAGUAACACGUGAACAAUCUGUCCUCACGUUCCGGAUAAUUGGCCGAAAGGCCUUGUAAUACGGGCGAGGGUCCAGAAGGAGCAUUCCUUUUUGAAGGAAGGUGCGGGAUUAUCCUGCGCCGCGCGAGGAGGAGUUCGCGGCCUAUCAGUUAGUUGGUGGGGUAACGGCCUACCAAGACGACGACGGGUAGCUGGUCUGAGAGGAUGGUCAGCCACAUUGGAACUGAGACACUGUCCAGACUCCUACGGGAGGCUGCAGUCGAGAAUCUUGGGCAAUGCACGAAAGUGUGACCCAGCGACGCCGCGUGGAGGAUGAAGGUCCUCUGGAUUGUAAACUCCUUUUAAGAGGAAAGAACGCUCCUUCGGGAGCUUGACGGUACCUCUUGAAUAAGCCACGGCUAACUACGUGCCAGCAGCCGCGGUAAUACGUAGGUGCCAAGCGUUGUCCGGAUUUACUGGGCGUAAAGCGUAUGCAGGCGGAUGCCUAAGUAGGAAGUGAAAGGUUGGAGCUCAACUCUAACACUGCUCCCUAUACUGGGUGUCUUGAGUGCCGGAGAGGAAGAUGGAACUGCACGUGUAGCGGUGAAAUGCGUUGAGAUGUGCAGGAACACCAAUGCGAAAGCAGUCUUCUGGACGGAUACUGACGCUGGAA
rnacentral:rRNA from 1 species